ensembl:misc_RNA 7SK 7SK RNA
GCCUGCUCAUCUGGCUGUGACAUCUGUCACCCCAUUGAUUGCCAGGGUUGAUUCCACGGGUGUCUCCUUCCUCCCUCACUGCUCCAUGUGAGUCCCUCCUGAAGCUGUGCGCUCAAGGUCAAAGAGGACGACCUUCCCCGAAUAGAGGAGGACUGGUCUUUGGUCAAGGGUAUAAGAGGAGCUACGCUCCUCUGCUAGAACCUCCAAACAAGCUCUCAAGGUCCUUUGCCUGCUCUUAAGUCUUGUUUUCUUCUAUUUAGUUGCCUUGUAUUGCCUCAACAUGAGGGCUUUCAUU